rnacentral:rRNA from 1 species
AGAGUUUGAUCCUGGCUCAGAUUGAACGCUGGCGGCAUGCCUUACACAUGCAAGUCGAACGGCAGCGGGGACUUCGGUCCGCCGGCGAGUGGCGAACGGGUGAGUAAAGUAUCGGAACGUACCUUUCAGUGGGGGAUAACGUAGCGAAAGUUACGCUAAUACCGCAUAUUCUGUGAGCAGGAAAGCAGGGGAUCGCAAGACCUUGCGCUGAUUGAGCGGCCGAUAUCAGAUUAGCUAGUUGGUGGGGUAAAGGCCUACCAAGGCGACGAUCUGUAGCGGGUCUGAGAGGAUGAUCCGCCACACUGGAACUGAGACACGGUCCAGACUCCUACGGGAGGCAGCAGUGGGGAAUUUUGGACAAUGGGGGCAACCCUGAUCCAGCCAUGCCGCGUGAGUGAAGAAGGCCUUCGGGUUGUAAAGCUCUUUCGGCCGGGAAGAAAUCGCAUAGGUUAAUACCCUGUGUGGAUGACGGUACCGGAAUAAGAAGCACCGGCUAACUACGUG